CUGCGGAAGGAUCAUUGUCGAAUCCCGCAAAAUCAGACCGCGAACUCGUUAAACCACACUUGGAUCGCGGGACUCGGGGGGAACCCUUUCCCGCGCCCGCCUCUCGCACGGCGUGCCCCUCGGUGCGCGUUGUGCGGGCUAACGAACCCCGGCGCGGCCUGCGCCAAGGAUAACUCAAGAAGCUUCUGCCUCCCGUCGCCCCGUUCGCGGUGUGCGGUGGGGGGAAUUGAUGUCUCUCCAAUGUCGUAACGACUCUCGGCAACGGAUAUCUCGGCUCUCGCAUCGAUGAAGAACGCAGACNNNNNNGAUACUUGGUGUGAAUUGCAGAAUCCCGUGAACCAUCGAGUCUUUGAACGCAAGUUGCGCCCGAAGCCAUUCGGCCGAGGGCACGUCUGCCUGGGCGUCACGCAUCGCGUCGCCUCCCCUACACACUCCCCACGGGGUGAUUGGGUGUCGGGGGCGGAAAUUGGCCCCCCGUGCGCUCUAAUAAGCUGCGCGGCCGGCCUAAAUUUGAACCCGUGGCGACUCGCGUCACGACAAGUGGUGGUUGAACACUCAACUCUCGUGCUGUCGUGUCAUUUUGAGUUGGCCGUCGGGCUUCGUCGCAGUCCCAACGGCGCGAGAAUCUCGCGCCUUCGACCGCGACCCCAGGUCAGGCGGGAUUACCCGCUGAGUUUAA
rnacentral:misc_RNA from 1 species